rnacentral:pre_miRNA from 1 species
UUUCUACUCCCUCCGUCCGAAAAUACUUGUCAUCAAAAUGGAUAAAAAGUGAUGUAUCUAAAACUAAAAUACGUCUAGAUACAUUUCCUUUUAUCCAUUUUGAUGACAAGUAUUUCCGGACGGAGGGAGUAUUUG